rnacentral:tRNA from 1 species
CGCGCGGCUGGACGACGGCUGGCGCCUGGAUGCCGACGGCAUCUACGACCUGUGGCUGCUGGGCCCGGAUGGCUUCCAUCGCCACUUCCGCGGC